CCUACGGGGGGCAGCAGUGGGGAAUAUUGCACAAUGGGGGGAACCCUGAUGCAGCGACGCCGCGUGGGUGAAGGAGUAUUUCGGUAUGUAAAGCCCUAUCAGCAGGGAAGAACAAUGACGGUACCUGACUAAGAAGCACCGGCUAAAUACGUGCCAGCAGCCGCGGUAAUACAUAGGGAGCAAGCGUUAUCCGGAUUUAUUGGGUGUAAAGGGUGCGUAGACGGGAAAUUAAGUUAGUUGUGAAAUCCCUCGGCUUAACUGAGGAACUGCAACUAAAAUUGAUUUUCUUGAGUACUGGAGAGGAA
rnacentral:rRNA from 1 species